CUUGCUUAUUCUAGUUUUUACUAUAUCACUUUAAUGUGUUUUCCUGCUAAAUAUUUGUAUUUAAUUCAGGUUUGCCUUUCCUGACAUAGAAAUCAGAGACUUGACAUCUUUAACAAUAUGUAGUCAUCACCCUGUAUGUGACGUUGCAAUUGGAACUGGACGGGAUGCUGAGAAGGAUCUUGCUCUUGAGCAAUACUGUGCUCCUGAACACUGGCAUAGUGUUCACCUGGAUUUAGUGGUGAUUUAGAAACAUCUAGCCUGAAAUUAACCAGCAUGCUUAGGAAAGGAAAAAGAAGGCUCACUGAUAGAGCCUGUCUCGCUGAAGUCGCUGUUCCUGCUUUCAUCCAACUCAUUUGGGUGGUGCUCCUGCCUUCUGUAACUCCAAAGGACCUUGGGGAGCAGAACACGCUGCAUCGCCUCAUGUAACUGCAGUCCACCCUGCUGUAGUGAAUCCAACCCAGCCCAAAGACUCGUGGUUGCAAUCUGUGG